GAAAUGCGAUAAGUAAUGUGAAUUGCAGAAUUCAGUGAAUCAUCGAAUCUUUGAACGCACAUUGCGCCCGCCAGUAUUCUGGCGGGCAUGCCUGUCCGAGCGUCAUUUCAACCAUCAAGCCCCCGGGCUUGUGUUGGGGACCUGCGGCUGCCCGCAGGCCCUGAAAAUCAGUGGCGGGCUCGCUGUCACACCGAGCGUAGUAGCAAUCACCUCGCUCAGGGCGUGCUGCGGGUUCCGGCCGUUAAACAGCCUUACAAAACCCAAGGUUGACCUCGGAUCAGGUAGGAAGACCCGCUGAACUUAAGC
rnacentral:misc_RNA from 1 species